AUUGAACGCUGGCGGCAGGCCUAACACAUGCAAGUCGAGCGGAGCGGCGGACGGGUGAGUAAUACCUAGGAAUCUGCCUGGUAGUGGGGGAUAACGUUCGGAAACGGACGCUAAUACCGCAUACUAUCAGAUGAGCCUAGGUCGGAUUAGCUAGUUGGUGAGGUAAUGGCUCACCAAGGCUACUAUCCGUAACUGGUAUGAGAGGAUGAUCAGUCACACUUGAACUGAUACACGGUCCAGAUUCCUACGGGAGGCAGCAGUGGGGAAUAUUGGACAAUGGGCGAAAGCUGUAUCUAGCAAUGCCGCGUGUGUGAAGAAGGUCUUCGGAUUGUAAAGCACUUUAGGUUGGGAGGGGUUACCGACCGAAUAAGCAACGGCUAACUCUGUGCCAGCAGCCGCGGUAAUAC
rnacentral:rRNA from 1 species